GUCUAUAGGGUUCCCUUUGAGCGAAACUCUGCACGACACAAAGACCUACGUUACGAGUAUGUGCAAAGGAUAUUACAGUUGGACGCGAUGGCCAGACCUCAUGAAUACCUCUUCCUGGAUGAGGCUGGCUUCAACCUGCAGAAACGAAGGCAAAGAGGCCGUAACAUCAUUGGCCAAAGAGCCAUCACUGAGGUUCCUGGCCAACGGGGGGGUAAUAUUACUCUUUGUGCGGCCAUGGGUUUGGAGGGGCUUGUCCACCGGCAGGCUGUCCUUGGGUCUUACAACACCCAACGUCUCCUAACCUUCCUAGAGGAGCAAAAAGAUGUCCUCCUCCUGUCCGCCAAAAACACCCUCCUGGGCCCGAACAUCCCAUUUAUGUGAUCAUUUGGGACAAUGUACGCUUCCACAGAACAAACCAAAUCAGAGAGUGGUUCACCACCAACAGUAACCACUUUUUAAACAUCUGUCUGCCACCCUACUCCCCUUUCCUGAACCCUAUAGAGGAGUUCUUCUCAUCGUGGAGAUGGAAGGUUUAUGACAGACAACCAUACACUAGAGAGAACCUCCUAAGGGCAAUGGAGCUGGCGUGUGUUGACAUCCCAGUGGAGAACUUCCAAGGAUGGAUCCGCCAUUCCAGGGCGUUCUUCCCGCGGUGCCUGGCAAGAGACAAUAUAGCCUGCGAUGUGGAUGAGGUGAUGUGGCCCGAUGCAGCUCAGCGACAUGAUGCCGCACAGUGAUUGUGGUGUAAAUAAAA